rnacentral:misc_RNA from 1 species
GAAAUAGUGAGCUUCCUUCCAAUACAUAGAGGAUCAGGUACAGGUAAUGGCCGGCCCAGUAGGUUUGUUUGUACAUUUUUUAUCGGUCCCAAACAAAGAAAGAGAAAGACCAUUUGGGUAGUGGUAGCCUGCACUGAAUUCUCCAUUUCUAUUCUAUUCUUUGAUCCUUUUUCUUGCAGUCGCUUUAUUUGCUUUAUGUUCUGCCAC